rnacentral:rRNA from 1 species
AGAACACCCGCUGAACUUAAGCAUAUCAGUAAGCGGAGGAAAAGAAACUAACUAGGAUUACCUCAGUAGCGGCGAGUGAAGAGGUAACAGCCCAAGAUGUUAAUCGGCCGUAAGGUUGAAUUGUAAUCUAUAGGGACUCCUGGAAGAAACCUAUGAGUCAUAAGUUCCUUGGAAAAGGAUACCAUAGAGGGUGAUAGUCCCGUCUUUGGAUUCAUAGGUUCGUACAGGUGUUUUCUAAGAGUCGGGUAGUUUGGGAAUGCUGCCCUAAUUAGGAGAUAUACUUCUUCUAAGGCUAAAUAUUUAUAAGGAGACCGAUAGCAUACAAGUACUGCGAAGGAAAGGUGAAAAGAACUUCUGUUAGAAGAGUGAAAUAGACCUGAAACCAAAUGCUUACAAUCAGUUAGAGGGAGCAUGACUCCUGAUAACGUACCUUUUGCAUAAUGAGUCAGCGAGUUAUAUUAUAUGCGAGUUUAAGUUGUUAAACGGAGGCGAGACGAAAGUGAGUCUUAAUAGGGCGAACGAUUAGCAUGUAGAUAUAGAACCCG